AAGUCGUAACAAGGUUUCCGUAGGUGAACCUGCGGAAGGAUCAUUAACACGUUAUCCACGUAUCCACCUCUUGCGAACUUUUUACUGUUCAGGAGUCGGCAGACCAGCGUAGAUAAUGGAGGUAGAUGUUACUAUGUCCAGUGGCCGACACCCUGGUUCUACCUGCCUAGCUAACCCCGCCAUCCCCUUCGUUUUUUUUUAAAUGUGGUGUAAGAAAAAAAGAAGCGUGUUGGGUGUGGGCUUAGGUAUUCUGGUUCAUAUGACUCGAAUCAUAGUAGUUUUUUUAAUCUUAUUAACCCUUUUUUUACUUAAUUUGUUGAAUUGUGAUGGUCCCUGGAGGUAACACUUCGGGUGGCUCACGUUAAUAAAACACUAUACAACUCUUAGCAACGGAUAUCUCGGUUCU
rnacentral:misc_RNA from 1 species